CCUACGGGGGGCAGCAGUGGGGAAUAUUGCACAAUGGGGGAAACCCUGAUGCAGCGACGCCGCGUGGAGGAAGAAGGUCUUCGGAUUGUAAACUCCUGUUGUUGGGGAAGAUAAUGACGGUACCCAACAAGGAAGUGACGGCUAACUACGUGCCAGCAGCCGCGGUAAAACGUAGGUCACAAGCGUUGUCCGGAAUUACUGGGUGUAAAGGGAGCGCAGGCGGGAAGACAAGUUGGAAGUGAAAUCUAUGGGCUCAACCCAUAAACUGCUUUCAAAACUGUUUUUCUUGAGUAGUGCAGAGGUAGGCGGAAUUCCCGGUGUAGCGGUGGAAUGCGUAGAUAUCGGGAGGAACACCAGUGGCGAAGGCGGCCUACUGGGCACCAACUGACGCUGAGGCUCGAAAGUGUGGGUAGCAAACAGGAUUAGAUACCC
rnacentral:rRNA from 1 species